UUUCCAAGAAUACACGAUUCUUACCAAUUUAACACAGAUAUGAUGGAUUUUGUACCCUUAAGUAAAAAAAAUCUUGGUUAUUCAGCAUUGAGAUCUACUGAAGAUGGAAAUUGUCUUUAUAGUUCAGUAUCUUUGAUUUUAAAUGACAAUAAUCAUACUU